GUUUAUGGCCAUACCACCCUAAACAUGCCUGAUCUCAUCUGAUCUUGGAGGCAAAGCAAGGUCGGGCCUGGUUAGUACUUGGAUGUGAGACUAUCUGGUAAUACUGGAUGCUAUAGGCU
rnacentral:rRNA from 1 species